rnacentral:misc_RNA from 1 species
GAUGAAGAACGCAGCGAAAUGCGAUAAGUAAUGUGAAUUGCAGAAUUCAGUGAAUCAUCGAAUCUUUGAACGCACAUUGCGCCUCCCAGUAUUCUGGCGGGCAUGCCUGUUCGAGCGUCAUUUCAACCAUCAAGCCCUGCUUGUGUUGGGGUCCUGCGGCUGCCCGCAGGCCCUGAAAACCAGUGGCGGGCUCGCUAGUCACACCGAGCGCAGUAGCACAUCUCGCUCAGGGCGUGCGGCGGGCUCCAGCCGUUAAAGCACCCACCUUUUGCAAGGUUGACCUCGGAUCAGGUAGGAAUACCCGCUGAACUUAAGCAUAUCAAUAAGCGGAGGA